GAUGAACGCUAGCGGCAGGCUUAACACAUGCAAGUCGAGGGGUAACAGGGAAGAGCUUGCUUUUCCGCUGACGACCGGCGCACGGGUGAGUAACGCGUAUAGAACCUACCUUUUACAGGGGAAUAGCCCAGAGAAAUUUGGAUUAAUGCCCUAUAGUAUUAUUGAAUGGCAUCAUUUAGUAAUUAAACAUUUAUGGGUAAAAGAUGGCUAUGCGUUCUAUAAGCUAGAUGGUAAGGUAACGGCUUACCAUGGCAACGAUAGAUAGGGGUCCUGAGAGGGAGAUCCCCCACACUGGUACUGAGACACGGACCAGACUCCUACGGGAGGCAGCAGUGAGGAAUAUUGGACAAUGGAGGCAACUCUGAUCCAGCCAUGCCGCGUGCAGGAAGACGGCCCUAUGGGUUGUAAACUGCUUUUAUACGGGAAGAAACCCAACUACGUGUAGUUGGCUGACGGUACCGUAAGAAUAAGCACCGGCUAACUCCGUGCCAGCAGCCGCGGUAAUACGGAGGGUGCAAGCGUUAUCCGGAAUCAUUGGGUUUAAAGGGUCCGUAGGCGGGCUAAUAAGUCAGGGGUGAAAUCCAACAGCUUAACUGUUGAACUGCCUUUGAUACUGUUAGUCUUGAAUUAUAUGGAAGUAGAUAGAAUGUGUAGUGUAGCGGUGAAAUGCUUAGAGAUUACACAGAAUACCGAUUGCGAAG
rnacentral:rRNA from 1 species